rnacentral:rRNA from 1 species
GAGAUGAGUUUUCCCUGGCACUAUAAGUGUCCUAAAGGGUUGUCGUAGACUACGACGUUGAUAGGCAGGGUGUGUAAGUGCUGCGAGGCAUUGAGCUAACCUGUACUAAUUGCCCGUGAGGCUUAACCAUACAACACCCAAGGGGUUU